rnacentral:lncRNA from 13 species
CCUCCUGCUCCAGGCGCCCAACAACCCCCUUCCCUCCCCUCACUCCAUCUCCUCCCCUCCCUCCCCCAGCUCCCUUUUUCCUCCCUCCCUCUCCCCCACCCCCAUCCUUUCCCCUUCCGUCCCCCAUCCCCAUCCUUCUCCCCUUCCCUCCCACAGCCCUAAGCCACCCCCACCUCUGUCCUGGCCGCCUCAUGGCGCCCUGAGAGGACCAGGACAUGUGGCUGCGGUGGUUGCUCUUUUGGCUCCUCGUGCUGGAGUUUCCCAGCCAUCAGUGCACUCAGGUCAUCGAUGUCCUGCUUGCAAGUUUGUAUCCCGGGCCUGGCUUUUCUGAACUUCCCUGGAUGCUUAUUAUCAUUGCUGUCUCCCUGGGAAUUUGUUCCCUUGCCGUUUUGUUGUGGAUAACUGGCCUUGGUGUCAACAUGGCUGAAGAGGAACCUCGUCCUCUGCCACAAUGGCCCAACCUACCCUACUUCAUGGCUGGCCCUUCCAGACCAUUGAUGGGUGGCCAGGCACCUCCUCCACCUUGGGGUCCUCUGGGACCUCGAUCACUCUCUGCAACUGAAGGUUCUCUAGAAGCUCUGAUACCUCCUCCACUGGAACAUCCUCUGGAGCCUGAAACACCUUCUCCAGCUGAAGGUUUCCUGAGAUCUCAGACAGCUCACACAAGUGAGAUUCUGAAGGAACCUCAGCAACAUACUCCAGUCGAGUGUCCCCUGGAAAGGCAAUUACCUCGUAACCUUGAGUAUCCUCUGGAACUUAAACAAUCUCCUAUACUACAGUGUCCACUGGAACCUCAACUACCGCUUGAAAGUGAGCAUCCCCUGGGAGAUCAACAACCUCCUAUAAUACAGUAUCCACUGGGACCCCAACCACCUCCUGAAUGUGAGGGUCCCCUGGAAGUCCAACAUUCUGCAAUACUACAAUGUCCACUGGGACAUCAACCACCUCGUGAACUUGAGUGUUCACCGGAACCACAACCAUUUUUAUCUGAGAAUUCUACAGGAUCUCAGACACUACCGAUACCGGAGUGUCUUCUGGAGGCUGAAGCACCUUGUCCAACUGAAGCAUUGCUGCCACCCCUGGUACCUUGUCUAAUAGAAAGUUUUCUUGGACCUGAACCACCAACUCCAGCUGACUGUUUGGUAGGAAUUCUAACAUACCUACUGACCUGUCCUCCAGAACCUCUACCACCUCCUGAAGGUGACGAUUUUCUGGAACGUGAGUCACAGCCUCCACUCGGGUUUCCACUGGGACCUCAACAACCUCCAGAAGAAGGUUAUGUGGAACCUCCAUCACCUCGUGUACUCGAGUGUUUGCUGGGCCCUCAAACAGGUCCUGCAGUGGAGUGCCCACUGGAAUAUCAACCACCUCCAGAACGUGAGUGUCCUGUGGAAGUUCAACAACCUCCUAUAAUACAGUAUCCACAGGGACCUCAAACACCUCUUGAACGUGAGUGUCUCCUGGAAGAUCAACAACCACCUAUACUACAAUGUCAACCGGGACCUCAACCACCUUUUGAACAUGAGUUUCCCCAGGAAGUCCAACAACCUCCAAUACUACAGUGUCCACUGAGACAUCAACCAUCUCCAGAAGUUAAGUGUCCCCUAGAAGAUCGACAAGGACCUAUAAUACAAUGUCAACCAGGACCUCAACCACCUCUAGAACAUGAGUGUCCCCAGGAAGUCCAACAACCUCCAAUCCUGCAGUGCCCACUGGGACAUCAACCAUUUCCAGAACGUGAGUGUCCCCGGGAAGAUCAACAACAUUGUAUAAUUCAAUGUGAACUGGGACCUCAACCACCUCUAGAACAUGAGUGUCCCCAGGAAGUUCAACAAUUUCCAAUACUACAGUGCCCACUGGGACAUCAACUGUCUCCAGAAUGUGAGAGUCCCCUGGAAGAUCGACAACAUCCUGUAAUUCAAUGUGAACUAGGACCUCAACCACCUCUAGAACAUGAGUGUCCCCAGGAAGUCCAACAACCUCCAAUACUGCAGUGCCCACUGGAACAUCAACCAUCUCCAGAAUGUGAGUGUCCCCUGGAAGAUCGACAACAUCCUAUAAUUCAGUGUGAACUGGGACCUCAACCACCUCGUGAACUUGAGUGUUCACCAGAACCACAACCAUUUUUAUCUGAGAAUUCUCCGGGACCUCAG